rnacentral:rRNA from 1 species
GCGAACGCGGGGUGAGCAGCCGGGGGAAGAACGAUGGGUCGAGCGUUGAGCGGAAUUAGUGGGCGUGAAGGGUGCGUAGGUGGUUACGUAAGGUAGGUGUUAAAGUCCCGGGCUUAACCUGGGGAUUGCGCCUGAUACUGCGUGGCUAGAGUACUGUAGAGGAAAGUAGAAUUUCCGGUGUAGCGGUGAAAUGCGUAGAUAUCGGAAGGAAUAUCGGUGGCGAAGGCGACUUUCUGGACAGAUACUGACACUGAGGCACGAAAGCGUGGGGAGCAAACAGGAUUAGAUACCCUAGUAGUC